GCCAAUGUAGUGUAGUGGUCUGAAUGUUGGACUAUGAAUCUGGAGACCAGGAUUCGAAACCCUACUCAGCCA